GCCCUGUUAGCUCAGUUGGCAGAGCAGCUGACUCUUAAUCAGCGGGUCGUAGGUUCGAGUCCUACACAGGGCA
rnacentral:tRNA from 2 species